UGCUCGUUUUGUGGUCGCAAGAAAAACCCUAGCCCAUUCCCGUCCGCAUCCCUGCUGCCGCCGCCGCCCUCCCAGUUCCCUCUGCUCCUGCUGCUUCCCUCCACCUCUCCCUCCUCCAUGCCGUCAGGGGCGCCCCUCAAGCCCCACCUCAUCGGUUCCUCACCCCGGUCUCCUUCUCCCCCGCCCAUGCUGCUCUCUGUGCGCGGUGACCGGACAGAGGAGGAAGAUCAGGAGGGCCGCAGGGAUGAAGGAGGAGGUAGAGCCGCUCACGUCGCCGCCGCCGUCUUCCUCGCCCUCACCAUGCGGGCCGCAGCGCUCCACCUCCUUGGCAUCUCCGUCUGGUCUACAGAUGAUGAGAAAUAAGGGACGGAAGCAAGAUGUGAGGAUGUGGAGACGCUAUGUUGCCUCCAUCCCUGGCCUUCUUCUUGGCGUGUACUCGUUGGUCAUGCUCCGCUUCCUCCACUCCCACCUCUCGGCCUCGACACCUCUGCGUAUUUCUCCAUCACUCUCUUGCAGGUACUCACUCUACUCCUCCUCUGCUUUCAGUUAGUCUGCAAUUUUUUCAUCCUUGCUUAUGUAGGUUAUUGUUGAAAUCCAACAAGGCCACUGUGGAACUCAGUGAUUUGUUUCUCAAAUACGUCUGUGUUGUGUGAUUUGCUAUGCAAGCUAUAUAUGGAUAAAUUGCAGGGGAAAUAUAAUUGUGCUGGAUUGUUCGAGACAUCCAUCACAUAAUUUUCUCAGAUUUAGAACUCAUGCAGAUGUUGUUAUCUUUUCAGGUAUGUGCUGAGAAUCCUAGGUGCGGCGACCUCAACAAUGUCCCAUCGUUGCCGGCGGUCUCCUAUAUGCUCCUGCGGAAUAAGUUCUUCCUGACCACCUCGACACUCACCGCCGCCGAGGAAUCCAGGGACAAGACUACCACCAAGUUGCUCAUCCGCCUUCAGGAUGCACACAUAAGGCUGGUUUGGUGAUUCCUAACAGAAAGAAGUAAACCAUUGUUGAUGUGUCCUCUAAGGUGCAGACGGUGGGCUCUGCGUGGUCGAACCUAAGUUAGUUCCUUUCAAGGGCUAAUACCAAUGAGGUGUACCAGGUGCGCUGGCUCAUGCCACCGCAUCCACCGACAGCAAGGUGGAGAAUGAGGCGCUCAAGGAGAGGGAGACCAGGAUGGUGCUUGUGUCUAUACGGUGACAGCGUGGACCUCUUCUUCGCAGAGAGGACGAAGUUGCAUGUCCCAAAUCGUUAGGGGCUAGGCUGUUUCCGCGUCGAGGAGUUCAUUUUGGCAGACGGAACUUUUGAAAGCUAGAAUAUUUUGGUGAAAUGUGAAGGGCUGCUUCAGUUUACCCAUAGUGUUAUUUCUAGAUGAACAAGGAGUGGUGACAUUGUGAGAUGGUGAAGCCAGAGCAUUGUCGAUGAAACUAGCCGAGGAGGAAUUGUGAGUUCACCUCCCUCUCCUUUGCAUCGGUUGUAUUUUCUCUCCUCUUUGUGCCCAUAUAUGUUAUGUUUCCCCGGGUCGGUGUGAAGUGAGCACGCAGUUUGUCAUCGUUCGUCAAUCGUCUGUCCUGUUCGUCUUCACUUCGUUCGAUGUGCCUUUCCGUUGCGGAGGUGUGUUUUGUUGUUUUAUCUUGUUGCACUUGUUAAUAUGAAAUCACGUCUUAAAGGAUUCAGAAGGUUAUACUUCAGUUUAGUUAUUGUGUUCUUAAGAUUUCUAUACGAACUUUACUCCUUUCUACAAGACUAGCCAUCAAAUCAUGAUAACUGAACCAUUGAAAAACUAUAGAAGGAUUAGUGGCAAUAAAACCUUAGGUUAGUUCUACCCUUUAUUUUGUUAUAAUUCCUCUGUUCUGGUAAUGAAAAAGAUGACCACACAGAUUAAAGGUUUAGAAACUAUAAAAGGAUCUGAACAUGAAGCUUAAUCUGCUGAAUUUUCACUUCAGUAGUCCCUCGGCUUCGAGAGUAUACGCAAUAUUUGAUUGUUGCUUCUCAAUGAUGCUACCAAAAAUUGGACACCCUGGCGUCGGAGAGACGGACCAGGAGGCCGAGCAGUCCGUGGUGUCGCCGCCGUCGUCCUCAUCCCUCGUGCGUGGUGACGGAGAGAGGCGAUCCGUCUGGAGCUCGAGUAUAGUUGACCGCGUCUCUUUUCUUUCUCUUCUUUCGCACGUCUCUUUUUCUGUAGCUGUUUGAAGGCUUAUGAUGCAUGGUCACUGACUGUAUUGGAGAUGUAACAUGGUUUGUUAGGUUCAGCCAUUGUGCAAUCUGCACUAACAGGCAUGUGCCCAGCUAAGAGCAAUCUGUAGGAUAUAAUCUAGGAUUUGCUGCAAUUAUCUGCUUCAAUUUAUAGGUAUAAGUACUUCAAAUUCCUUCAAUGGUUGGGAGACAUAUGAAUUUGAUUACACUACUAUUUCAAUUACUGGAUGGUUAUUUGCAGUGUUAUUUAUGACCAUUACUGUACUUAAUAUGGUAUCAAGGUUACAGCCGAAUGUAUCUUGUACCAUACCACCCAUGGAUCUAAGUACAAAUAAUAAUGAGCAAUGAUUUCUCAGGCUAAAAAAAUUCUGCUAUCUCACUCAAGAGCAAUAAUAUACCCACUGAAGACUGACAGAAAACUGUAACCUUACUUUGAGUAGUGCAUCUCACAAUAACAGUUGUCCUCUCUUUUUACAUGUUUUAAAAAUCUGCAUAUUUUCUUGUAAUGAUUUCGGUAACAAAAUUGAAUGGCGCGGUGUAUGCUCACAUAUCCCCGCUCUUACAAGCUACCAUAAGGCAUGUUUCAGACUGUUAGUGUAUACUAUAUUGCUUACUCUGACAUUGGAUUUUGUGUUAACUGCUAUAUUAUAUAUUUUUGUUUCUUCUCAGGAGCCGCCUCCUCUUUUACUGAUAAAAACUGGUCGGAGGGGAUCUGCUUUUUCCCCUGAUCUUCUACGCGAUUGGGAGCCUGAGCCAUGGCUGACCCAUUCACUGCUGGUCUCGGCAGCACCCAAAUAUUCACACAUAUUGGUGAUAGUCUGAUAGGCCUUUUGGGAUUUGCAGUGUAUGUGGAUCUUGGCAGAGCAGAGUCACUUAACCCUGUUAGAGAGUACCAGGGAUACAACAUCAUUUUGAAAAUCCGAAUUUGGCUAAUCCAUGUGUACUGGACCUGUUUUUGAAGUUGUUCUGUCUCAUUUUUGUGAAGGUGGGGCUGUGCAUUUGAUUGGAUUUUGUGGUGGCCUGGUUGGGAAAAGGAAGGUGCAUCUAUUUUUGUUUGCUUCAGUUCUCCCUUUUGGAUUGAGUUGUUGCUAGCUUGCCAUGAAGUUCCUUUACUUGAUAAGAAAUUUUAGUUUGAAAUAUGUGGUCAUUGGGAGUUCAGAAAAGGUGGCAAGCAGGGAAGUCACUACUUUGUACUUGUAUUGUUUCCUUUUACCCAAGUGCCUUCAUACGAUACUAAGUAUUUUUCAGUUUUACAUCAUUCGUUGUACUAAACCACAACAGUACUACGGACUUGCAUGUACCAGUGCUUCAUAUAUGUCGUACUCUGACUGAUGAAAUAACAUCACAUAGUGCAUACAAGAAAGUGAAAAGGACGCUUACCUAACUGGCACCGCCGAGUUUCCUCUCAGGAGGCGCCCCCGAGGGCAGUGGCGGAGCUUCUCAGGGGCCAACCUGGGCCGUUGCCCCCCCAGCCCAUGAAUUUUUUCUGAAAUACCCCUUAGUAUUUGGCCCAUAUCUCAAGCAAAAUCAGCCCAAAAUACAUAUUGUUUGCCCCCCCCAGCCCAUUGCCCCCCCUAGAUUUCAGCCCAAGCUUCGCCACUGCCCGAGGGGCGCCCCAACCACUAGUUUGAGCAGUAAAUGCAGCCUAAUAAUAAACCAUCUAGUGUUGCUUUUGAAAUUAAAUUGAAAAGUGCAUGUUUACUUGCCACCAAAUCUGAUAUUGAUGAUUUAGAUUUUAGCAAAUCUGUUUGCAAUGCUUUUGUGUGCAAAGAGGCAUUAUUUUUAUUUGAGGACGUACAUUUUUCAGGAGUUCGCUGACGUCUUUCCACAAGACGUGCCAUCGGGAUUACCACCUACUCGUGGGAUUGAGCAUCAAAUUGACUUAAUUCCUGGUGCACCAUUACCCAACCGUGCACCAUACCGUACCAAUUCCUAGGAGACAAAGUAGAUUAUGCGUUAAGUACAUGAACUGCUCGACAAAGGUUAUAUACGUGAAUCCCUUAAUUCUUGUGCCGUUCCUAUCAUUUUAGUGCCAAAAAGGAUGAUACGUUGUGUACGUGCGUUGAUUUUAGAGGCAUUAACAAUAUUACUAUUUGUUAUCAUCAUCCUAUUCCUAGGCUAGAUGAAAUGCUUCAUGAAUUGAGUGGCUCUAUAAUAUUCUUCAAAGUUGAUUUGCGUAGUGGAUACCAUCAAAUUUGUAUGAAAUUGGGAGAUGAAUGAAAAACUGUAUUU